GUUUUGGUCAAACAUGGAACUUUUAAUGAAGUUCCAUGAGCACUUUUAAUGAGCACUUCUCUUGUGCUCCUGACUGAAAUUGCAUUAUCAGAAGCAGCUAUGAGGAAAAGCAGUUGAAACACCAUUAGUUAACAGAUUGCCCAAUGAAGUCGAUGACAACUGUGAUAAGAAAUUACUCACUAUCACAGUGUCUCCAAGAGAUGAACAGUGGAUGAUGCUUCCAAAGCACAGAUGUCCCUCUCCUCCUCAACCUUCUUUCCCCAGAAAGAUGUCAACACCGUGGAGAUUGUGCCAUGAAGACACCUGGUGUGGCAUUGCAAUAGAUGAAAUAUUAAGGGCAAUUCUACAAUUUUUGGAACAAAUAAAUGGAUUUAACUUGAA